rnacentral:lncRNA from 7 species
AUCUCUUUCCUAUUUCUAGAUUCCAGUUUUCUUUUUCUUUUCCAAAUUUAGAUCGAAUUUAAAAUUCCUCUUAUGAUUUUGCUAAACAAAUGCAGUAACACAAAAUACCAACAUGAUGCAUAAUUUAAUUAUUUACACUAAUUGUUUCAUACCUUUAGUUAGAUAAAAUGCAUCAAAUAUGUAAUACAUAAAAUAUUCAUUUUAAGAAGGUAUUGUUUAAAUGUCUAUUUUAAUUAAAGGUUCAUCCCAAGAGUUAUUCACUUUUUUUGUAAGAGAGAUACUUUAUA